GUGUAUCCUCUCACCACGCACACAGUGGCGUACGUCCACCCCCUGCACGCACAACUGUGUAGGCAUACCCUCUCCCCCUUCCCCGCAUGUGCGACAGUGUACCCCACUACACCCCCGCAUGCGCAACGGCGUACGCUCGCCUGUGCGAUGGCGUAUUCACGUCAUCUCUUCUCCUGGACUUACAUCACAGAGAGGAUGAAGAUUUCCUUCACUGGCUGGGACAACAGCGCCCCUGCAGAGAUGACCUCAAGUCCCCAAACUGAUCUGGACCUCACGGGCCAAAGGAACCUAAGAAAUGGGGUGAAGAUGUGAUCAUAUAUUUUUUUUCUCCAGUCCAAAGAGAACCAGAUUUCUCAGAUUCACUGGGCAUGGAGGCUGGCAUCAAAUGGACCUUCACAAUUGUUUGGAUAAUGGAAAAAUGAAUCACAAUUUGCUUGUUCUCACAUGCUUUGAAAGCUGACCACCCUCUUCUCCUGGGCUCUGUUCCUCUCCCACCUCUGCUGAUGAAAGCCCGGACAACUGCCAGUCAAAUGAGCCCACCAUGAAAGAAGCAGGGCCAGGAGCAAAGAGGCCAGAGAGAAGUCUUCACUUCAAAUCACAGCCCACACAAGUGAGAAAGUAUUCAAGACAAAUGUCUGUCUCUGAUGGAUUAUGUUACAGCUGUCUUCUUUCUCAGCCACCGAAUAAACACAAAAUCAGAGUUCAUUUUUUUCACCUGAUUCCAGUUCAGUUCUCUCCCCAUAAGUGUAGCCUUCCCCACCCCCCUUCAUAUCUCAGUGAAUCAGGAAUCAGGCCACCUGACAGCAGAGGUUGGAGCAAUCAUUUCUCAUAUUGUCAUCUGAUGAAUGCCUGAACAAUGCUUCAUUUAAACAAAAUCUGAGUCUCGCAGCUUCUAAAUUCCAGUACUUUUUCCCCAAGCCAUUCCACAGUGGGUCU